UACGUAGGGAGCAAGCGUUGUCCGGAAUCAUUGGGCGUAAAGCGCGCGUAGGCGGUUUGGUAAGUCGGAUGUGAAAACCAGAGGCUCAACCUCUGGCCUGCAUCCGAUACUGCCCGACUAGAGGUAGGUAGGGGAGAUCGGAAUUCCUGGUGUAGCGGUGAAAUGCGCAGAUAUCAGGAGGAACACCGGUGGCGAAGGCGGAUCUCUGGGCCUUACCUGACGCUGAGGCGCGAAAGCUAGGGGAGCAAACAGG
rnacentral:rRNA from 1 species